CCUACGGGGGGCAGCAGUGGGGAAUAUUGCUCAAUGGGGGAAACCCUGAUGCAGCGACGCCGCGUGAGUGAAUAAGUAUCUCGGUAUGUAAAGCUCUAUUAGCAGGGAAGAAAAUGACGGUACCUGACUAAGAAGCCCCGGCUAACUACGUGCCAGCAGCCGCGGUAAUACGUAGGGCGCAAGCGUUAUCCGGAUUUACUGGGGGGAAAGGGGGCGUAGACGGGAGCACAAGUCUGGAGUGAAAUCCCGGGGCUUAACCCCGGAACUGCUUUGGAAACUGGGCGGCUGGAGUGCAGGAGGGGUAGGCGGAAUUCCUGGUGUAGCGGUGAAAUGCGUAGAUAUUAGGAGGAACACCGAUGGCGAAGGCGGCUUACUGGACUGUAACUGACGUUGAGGCUCGAAAGCGUGGGGAGCAAACAGGAUUAGAUACCCGGGUAGUC
rnacentral:rRNA from 1 species